GUGGCUUAAUUUGACUCAACGCGGGAAAUCUUACCGGGUCCGGACACACUGAGGAUUGACAGGCAAUAUAUGUGACUCUUCGGAGUUUGCAUUGUUAAAUAUGCUAGUCCUUUCAUGAUUAUGUGAUAGGUGGUGCAUGGCCGUUCUUAGUUCGUGGAGUGAUCUGUCUGCUUAAUUGCGUUUCAAAUUACUUAUAAGGUAGCAAUACGCGAUGAAGCUUUCAAUAGUCCUCACGGAUUCACUUGAGUCUCUCGCUUCGCUAUCCUUUCGAAUGCAACGAACGUGACCGCAACCUCUUGUUGCCUUCGUUUAACAUCCUGCAGCUCGCUGUGGGUACUGAGGGCUUCACUCGGUGACUUUGGGCUGAGCAAUCGGUCUU
rnacentral:rRNA from 1 species